AACGAACGCUGGCGGCAGGCCUAACACAUGCAAGUCGAGCGCCCCGCAAGGGGAGCGGCGGACGGGUGAGUAACGCGUGGGAACGUACCCUUUGCUACGGAAUAGCCUCGGGAAACUGGGAGUAAUACCGUAUGUGCCCUUCGGGGGAAAGAUUUAUCGGGCAAAGGAUCGGCCCGCGUUGGAUUAGGUAGUUGGUGGGGUAAUGGCCUACCAAGCCGACGAUCCAUAGCUGGUUUGAGAGGAUGAUCAGCCACACUGGGACUGAGACACGGCCCAGACUCCUACGGGAGGCAGCAGUGGGGAAUCUUAGACAAUGGGCGCAAGCCUGAUCUAGCCAUGCCGCGUGAGCGAUGAAGGCCUUAGGGUUGUAAAGCUCUUUCAGUGGGGAAGAUAAUGACUGUACCCACAGAAGAAGCCCCGGCUAACUCCGUGCCAGCAGCCGUCGGUAAAGUAGACGUACU
rnacentral:rRNA from 1 species